UCCUGAAAGGGGCGGUAAUACCGGAUAAUGUCAUUUGUCGAUGGGCAGAUGACCAAAGAUUUAUCGGCGAAGGAGCGGCCUAUCUCCUAUCAGCUUGUUGGUGAGGUAAAAGCUCACCAAGGCUAAGACGGGUAGCGGGACUGAGAGGUUGACCCGCAACAUCGGGACCGAGACACUGCCCGGACCCCCACGGGGGGCUGCAGUAACGAAUAUUGCGCAAUGGGCGAAAGCCUGACGCAGCGACGCCGCGUGCGGGAGGAAGUCUUUCGGGAUGUAAACCGCUGUCAGGGUGAAGAAAGUCCGUUUAGGCGGAUUGAUCUAACCCAGAGGAAGUCACGGCUAACUUCGUGCCAGCAGCCGCGGUAAGACGAAGGUGGCAAGCGUUGUUCGGUAUCACUGGGCUUAAAGCGUGUGUAGGCGGAAAGGUAAGCGUUUAGUGAAAUCCCUCGGCUUAACCGGGGAAUGGCUGGGCGAACUGCCUUUCUUGAGGUAGGCAGGGGUGCAUGGAACUCUUGGUGGAGCGGUGGAAUGCGUAGAUAUCAAGAGGAACGCCGGUGGAGAAAUCGGUGCACUGGGCCUGCUCUGACGCUGAGACACGAAAGCGUGGGGAGCGAACGGGAUUAGAUACCCCGGUAGUCCACGCUGUAAACGAUGUCUACUAGGUUGUGGUCGUUCUGACACGUUCACGGCCGAAGCAAAAGUGUUAAGUA
rnacentral:rRNA from 1 species